rnacentral:tRNA from 1 species
AGGGUGUAGCGCAGUGGUUAGCGCACUCGCUUGAGGAGCAAGGGGUCGCGGGUUCGAGUCCCGCCACCUUCG